GACGAACGCUGGCGGCGUGCUUAACACAUGCAAGUCGAACGGAAAGGCCCCUUUGGGGGUACUCGAGUGGCGAACGGGUGAGUAACACGUGAGUAACCUGCCCUUGACUUCGGGAUAACUUCAGGAAACUGGGGCUAAUACCGGAUAGGAAUCCUUGCUGCAUGGUGGGGGUUGGAAAGCUUCGGCGGUUUUGGAUGGACUCGCGGCUUAUCAGCUUGUUGGUGGGGUAGUGGCUUACCAAGGCUUUGACGGGUAGCCGGCCUGAGAGGGCGACCGGCCACAUUGGGACUGAGAUACGGCCCAGACUGCUACGGGAGGCAGCAGUGGGGAAUAUUGCACAAUGGGCGGAAGCCUGAUGCAGCAACGCCGCGUGCGGGAUGACGGCCUUCGGGUUGUAAACCGCUUUCAGCAGGGGCGAAGCUUGUGGUGACGGUACCUGCAGAAGAAGCACCGGCUAACUACGUG
rnacentral:rRNA from 1 species